rnacentral:rRNA from 1 species
AUGAACGCUGGCGGCGUGCUUAACACCUGCAAGUCGAACGAAGCACCUUGAUUUGAUUCUUCGGAUGAAGAUCUUGGUGACUGAGUGGCGGACGGGUGAGUAACGCGUGGGUAACCUGCCUCAUACAGGGGGAUAACAGUUAGAAAUGACUGCUAAUACCGCAUAAGACCACAGCACCGCAUGGUGCAGGGGUAAAAACUCCGGUGGUAUGAGAUGGACCCGCGUCUGAUUAGGUAGUUGGUGGGGUAACGGCCUACCAAGCCGACGAUCAGUAGCCGACCUGAGAGGGUGACCGGCCACAUUGGGACUGAGACACGGCCCAAACUCCUACGGGAGGCAGCAGUGGGGAAUAUUGCACAAUGGGGGAAACCCUGAUGCAGCGACGCCGCGUGAGCGAUGAAGUAUUUCGGUAUGUAAAGCUCUAUCAGCAGGGAAGAAAAUGACGGUACCUGACGAAGAAGCACCGGCUAAAUACGUG